GACGAACGCUGGCGGCGUGCCUAAUACAUGCAAGUAGAACGCUGAAGGAGGAGCUUGCUCUUCUGGAUGAGUUGCGAACGGGUGAGUAACGCGUAGGUAACCUGCCUGGUAGCGGGGGAUAACUAUUGGAAACGAUAGCUAAUACCGCAUAACAGUAGAUGUUGCAUGACAUUUGCUUAAAAGGUGCAAUUGCACCACUACCAGAUGGACCUGCGUUGUAUUAGCUAGUUGGUGGGGUAACGGCUCACCAAGGCGACGAUACAUAGCCGACCUGAGAGGGUGAUCGGCCACACUGGGACGGAGACACGGCCCAGACUACUACGGGAGGCAGCAGAAGGGAAUCUUCGGCAAUGGACGGAAGUAUGACCGAGCAACGCCGAGUGAGUGAAGAAGGGUUUCGGAUCGUAAAGCUCUGUUGUAAGAGAAGAACGAGGGUGAGAGUGGAAAGUUCACACUGUGACGGUAUCUUACCAGAAAGGGACGGCUAACUACGUG
rnacentral:rRNA from 1 species